AGUGAACGCUGGCGGCAGGCCUAACACAUGCAAGUCGAGCGGCAGCGCGGGGCAACCUGGCGGCGAGCGGCGGACGGGUGAGGAAUUCGUCGGAAUCUGCCUUUUUGCGGGGGAUAACGUAGGGAAACUUACGCUAAUACCGCAUACGACCUCCGGGUGAAAGCGGGGGACCGCAUGGCCUCCCGCAGAAAGAUGAGCCGACGACCGUUUGGCUAGUGGGUGGGGUAUAGGCCCACCAAGGCGACGAUCGGUCUCUGGUCUGAGAGGACGAUCAGCCACACUGGGACUGAGACACGGCCCAGACUCCUACGGGAGGCAGCAGUGGGGAAUAUGGGACAAUGGGCGCAAGCCUGAUCCAGACAUGCCGCGUGUGUGAAGAAGGCCUUCGGGUUGUAAAGCACUUUUGUCCGGAAAGAAAUCUUCCAACUUAAUACGUUGGGAGGAUGACGGUACCGGAAGAAUAAGCACCGGCUAACUUCGUGCCAGCAGCCGCCGUAAAAC
rnacentral:rRNA from 1 species